UUCACCCCUGUCCCAUCUGACAGGUCUUCUGUAAGAGGAUUGAGGUGUGCAUGAGAAGAUAUUAGAAGACUUUAGCUGCCAGAGAAGAUAAUUUGGAAAUCAUCUGCUCCGCCAUUAAUAGAGAGACAGAAUAUCACUGGUGAAAGAGAAAUCACAAUGGGAUCUGAUGGAGAAGGCCACACACAUCUGUAGGUCUUGGAUUUUUUGCUGCAUAGAGUAAUCAGAUGAGAGCUUGGGUGGUCUCCCUUGAUAAGGAGAUGACAUUUGUGGAUCAAUCCUCCUAUCUGCUUCCAGUCAUCACACAUUAGCCUUUUACUCAUGAAGAGUCAAAGCUCUACUGCCUGAAUGAGCCCAGGACACUUGCCUCCACCCAUCCAGUGUUAUCACCUAGGCUCUAACUCUGUUAAAGUCCAUUUCUUCACUACUGAACAUUGGAAAAUGGGUGUGGACGAGUGAGAAAGUCUGGAACAGGAGGAAAAGAAAAGGGAACAGAUUCCUAGAUGUUCCAGCAAGUGGAAACACAGUUGGGAAAACAUGGCUUGGGAAGCAGAGACUUGGAGGAGGAGGAACUGUGUCCCUGGGGAAACCCGUCUUAUUGUGCUCCAACAGACAUCAAAGCCUGGAAGAUACCUGAACUAGAAAAUGGGAAGAAAAUUAUUCUCCUGGUGGCUUUUGUAAAUUCGUUUGUAUUCGGUGUAAUUGUCACCUGCUGCUUCGGUGGAACUCCCUGUCCCUUUCUGUUGGGCAGAAGGAAUGGGCCCAUCCGUAAUAGAUACGGAGAGGAAAACAAAGUGAUGACAACUCAGUGGGCAAGCAGGGCAAGAGCUGUUUCUGCAGAGAGCUUAGUAGCACAGCCCUAUUCACUUUUGCUGGGAUGUAUGCGUCUGGGACAUAAUGGGGCUGUGCAGAGAUAGCACUGGAACAGACUGAUAACCAAAACUGAAAUUUCAAAAGGGAGGCUACAAUCGAGCCAAUAAAAAGUGAAAGGGCUGCUUUAUAAUUCCCAGUUCUCCCAUUCUUAUUUUUUUCUGUUUUCCACAGGUUCCAAGCUGAAGAGU
rnacentral:lncRNA from 1 species